UACGUAGGGUGCGAGCGUUAAUCGGAAUUACUGGGCGUAAAGCGUGCGCAGGCGGCUUGCCAAGUCAGAUGUGAAAGCCCCGGGCUUAACCUGGGAAUGGCGUUUGAAACUGGCAGGCUAGAGUUUGGCAGAGGAGUGUGGAAUUCCCGGUGUAGCGGUGAAAUGCGCAGAUAUCGGGAAGAACACCCGUGGCGAAGGCGGCACUCUGGGACGGUACUGACGCUGAGACGCGAAAGCGUGGGGAGCGAACAGG
rnacentral:rRNA from 1 species